AGCGAACGCUGGCGGUAGGCCUAACACAUGCAAGUCGAACGGCAGCACAGUAAGAGCUUGCUCUUACGGGUGGCGAGUGGCGGACGGGAGAGGAAUACAUCGGAAUCUACUUUUUCGGGGGGGAUAACGUAGGGAAACUUACGCUAAUACCGCAGACGACCUACGGGUGAAAGCAGGGGAUCUUCGGACCUUGCGCGAUUGAAUGAGCCGAUGUCGGAGUAGCUAGUGGGCGGGGUAAAGGCCAACGAAGGCGACGAUCGGUAGCUGGACUGAGAGGAUGGUCGGCCACACUGGAACUGGGACACGGUCCAGACUCCUACGGGAGGCAGCAGUGGGCAAUAUUGGACAAUGGGCGCAAGCCUGAUCCAGCCAUACCGCGUCGGUGAAGAAGGCCUUCGGGUUGUAAAGCCCUUUUGUUGGGAAAGAAAAGCAGCAGGUUAAUACCCCGCUGUUCUGACGGUACCCAAAGAAUAAGCACCGGCUAACUUCGUG
rnacentral:rRNA from 1 species